rnacentral:tRNA from 1 species
UAUAAAGUAGUAUUUAAGUACGAUGGGUUUUGAUUCCAUAGGAGCAAAGUAAGUGGUGCCUUUAUAU